rnacentral:rRNA from 1 species
CCUACGGGAGGCUGCAGUAGGGAAUCUUCCACAAUGGGCGAAAGCCUGAUGGAGCAACGCCGCGUGAGUGAUGAAGGUCUUCGGAUCGUAAAGCUCUGUUAGUAGGGAAGAAAAAUAGGGUAAGUAACUAUGCACGUCUUGACGGUACCUACUCAGAAAGCCACGGCUAACUACGUGCCAGCAGCCGCGGUAAUACGUAGGUGGCAAGCGUUAUCCGGAAUUAUUGGGCGUAAAGCGCGCGUAGGCGGUUUUAUAAGUCUGAUGUGAAAGCCCACGGCUCAACCGUGGAAGGGCAUUGGAAACUGGAAAACUUGAGUGCAGAAGAGGAGAGUGGAAUUCCAUGUGUAGCGGUGGAAUGCGUAGAGAUAUGGAAGAACACCAGUGGCGAAGGCGGCUUUCUGGUCUGUAACUGACGCUGAGGCUCGAAAGCGUGGGGAGCAAACAGGAUUAGAUACCCGAGUAGUC